UGGCUCAGGACCGAACGCUGGCGGCGUGCCUAAUACAUGCAAGUAGAACGCUGAAGAGAGGAGCUUGCUCUUCUUGGAUGAGUUGCGAACGGGUGAGUAACGCGUAGGUAACCUGCCUUGUAGCGGGGGAUAACUAUUGGAAACGAUAGCUAAUACCGCAUAACAAUGGAUGACCCAUGUCAUUUAUUUGAAAGGGGCAAAUGCUCCACUACAAGAUGGACCUGCGUUGUAUUAGCUAGUAGGUGAGGUAACGGCUCACCUAGGCGACGAUACAUAGCCGACCUGAGAGGGAGAUCGGCCACACUGGGACUGAGACACGGCCC
rnacentral:rRNA from 1 species